UAACGCGUAUCCAACCUGCCUUACACUCUUGGACAGCCUUCUGAAAGGGAGAUUAAUACAAGAUGUUAUCAUGAGUAAACAUUUUCGCAUGAUUAAAGGUUUACCGGUGUAAGAUGGGGAUGCGUUCCAUUAGAUAGUAGGCGGGGUAACGGCCCACCUAGUCUUCGAUGGAUAGGGGUUCUGAGAGGAAGGUCCCCCACAUUGGAACUGAGACACGGUCCAAACUCCUACGGGAGGCAGCAGUGAGGAAUAUUGGUCAAUGGACGAGAGUCUGAACCAGCCAAGUAGCGCGAAGGAUGAAGGUUCUAUGGAUUGUAAACUUCUUUUAUACGGGAAUAAACGGAUCCACGCGUGGAUUUUUGCAUGUACCGUAUGAAUAAGGAUCGGCUAACUCCGUGCCAGCAGCCGCGGUAAUACGGAGGAUCCGAGCGUUAUCCGGAUUUAUUGGGUUUAAAGGGAGCGUAGAUGGGUUGUUAAGUCAGUUGUGAAAGUUUGCGGCUCAACCGUAAAAUUGCAAUUGAUACUGGCAGUCUUGAGUACAGUUGAGGUAGGCGGAAUUCGUGGUGUAGCGGUGAAAUGCUUAGAUAUCACGAAGAACUCCGAUUGCGAAGGCAGCUUACUAACCUGUAACUGACAUUGAUGCUCGAAAGUGUGGGUAUCAAACAGGAUUAGAUACCCUGGUAGUCCACACGGUAAACGAUGAAUACUCGCUGU
rnacentral:rRNA from 1 species